rnacentral:lncRNA from 13 species
NNNNNNNNNNNNNNNNNNNNNNNNNNNNNNNNNNNAAUGCUGUAUUCAAUGUACGUUCACUUGAGAUAAGCAAACAAAUGUUAUUUACCACAGCCUCAAAGUCACACCAUCUGGACUUCGUGCGGGUGUGCUGUGUGUUGCUACUUGGCUACCAGCCAAACCUUUCGCUUGGACUUUUAAUAACCAUUUAAUCCAUAUCUGCAUUAAACACAUUUACCAACGUCUCAGUUUUUUCCUCGCUAGACCUUUUUCAUUGAACUUUUUCACCCCGGAUGCUUUAUCUGGACGUGGUUCUACAGGACCUCCACCAGCCAACCAGUAGUAACAUUAACAUGAUGCUUUAUCUGGACGUGGUUCGUCAGGACCUCCACCAGCCAACCAGUAGUAACAUUAACACUAUGCCAUUUAAUUACAGUCACAUAUCUCAUAAUAUACAAGAGAACUAUCACCUUAUGGUGUGGAUAGUCAUGUUGCAAGCCCAGCUUCAGAUACAAUCGUUAGGCAAGAGUCAUUUCAGUGUAGGAAAAGAUGAAACAGCGUCUGUGCCACCAGUAAGUACAGAUAGUAACGUUAGUAUAAAUCCCCUCGCACGGUCCCCGCAGCCGGACAACUUUCUCAUGGCUUCUGGAGGGAAAUGCUGUAGGAAUGCUCAACCGGUGUCGCUCAUUCAGCCGACAGAAACUUUCAAUCGGUUUUCCCCAUUAAGCAGCGAGUCGGAUUCAGAGGCCGAGCCUUCUCAGAUCUCUCCCUCACCUGUUACGGGAUCUGAGCCACCAAAGCCUCCCACCAUCAUCUCUGACAAAUGUAAAACCCUAGUCAUUGGUGACUCCAUUACCCGCAGUAUUAGACUUAAAAAGAAUCAUCCGGCGAUCAUACACUGUUUACCGGGGGGCAGGGCUGCCGACGUUAAGGCUAAUCUGAAGAUGGUGCUGGCUAAAGCUAAAACUGGCGAGUGUAGAGAGUAUAGAGAUAUUGUUAUCCACAUCGGCACCAACGAUGUUA